UACGUAGGGUGCGAGCGUUGUCCGGAAUUAUUGGGCGUAAAGCGCUCGUAGGCGGUUUGUCGCGUCGGGAGUGAAAACACCGGGCUUAACUCGGUGCUUGCUUUCGAUACGGGCAGACUAGAGGUAUGCAGGGGAGAACGGAAUUCCUGGUGUAGCGGUGAAAUGCGCAGAUAUCAGGAGGAACACCGGUGGCGAAGGCGGGUCUCUGGGCCGAAACUGACGCUGAGGAGCGAAAGCGUGGGGAGCAAACAGG
rnacentral:rRNA from 1 species